UGCAGUCGAGCGGUAGCACAGAGAGCUUGCUCUCGGGUGACGAGCGGCGGACGGGUGAGUAAUGUCUGGGAAACUGCCUGAUGGAGGGGGAUAACUACUGGAAACGGUAGCUAAUACCGCAUAACGUCGCAAGACCAAAGUGGGGGACCUUCGGGCCUCAUGCCAUCAGAUGUGCCCAGAUGGGAUUAGCUAGUAGGUGGGGUAACGGCUCACCUAGGCGACGAUCCCUAGCUGGUCUGAGAGGAUGACCAGCCACACUGGAACUGAGACACGGUCCAGACUCCUACGGGAGGCAGCAGUGGGGAAUAUUGCACAAUGGGCGCAAGCCUGAUGCAGCCAUGCCGCGUGUGUGAAGAAGGCCUUCGGGUUGUAAAGCACUUUCAGCGGGGAGGAAGGCGAUGAGGUUAAUAACCUUGUCGAUUGACGUUACCCGCAGAAGAAGCACCGGCUAACUCCGUGCCAGCAGCCGCGGUAAUACGGAGGGUGCAAGCGUUAAUCGGAAUUACUGGGCGUAAAGCGCACGCAGGCGGUCUGUCAAGUCGGAUGUGAAAUCCCCGGGCUCAACCUGGGAACUGCAUUCGAAACUGGCAGGCUAGAGUCUUGUAGAGGGGGGUAGAAUUCCAGGUGUAGCGGUGAAAUGCGUAGAGAUCUGGAGGAAUACCGGUGGCGAAGGCGGCCCCCUGGACAAAGACUGACGCUCAGGUGCGAAAGCGUGGGGAGCAAACAGGAUUAGAUACCCUGGUAGUCCACGCUGUAAACGAUGUCGAUUUGGAGGUUGUGCCCUUGAGGCGUGGCUUCCGGAGCUAACGCGUUAAAUCGACCGCCUGGGGAGUACGGCCGCAAGGUUAAAACUCAAAUGAAUUGACGGGGGCCCGCACAAGCGGUGGAGCAUGUGGUUUAAUUCGAUGCAACGCGAAAACCUUACCUGGUCUUGACAUCCACAGAACUUAGCAGAGAUGCUUUGGUGCCUUCGGGACUGUGAGACAGGUGCUGCAUGGCUGUCGUCAGCUCGUGUUGUGAAUGUUGGGUUAAGUCCCGCACGAGCGCACCCUUAUCCUUUGUUGCAGCGUUCGCGGGAC
rnacentral:rRNA from 1 species